rnacentral:lncRNA from 1 species
AACAUAAAUGUAGUUUCUAAUAUUUGUUGUAUCUGACGCUAUUUAUUUGACGUCUGUUUGGCGUCUUCAGCCACGUGAUAAUUUGCGGCGUUCGUUGACGUCAACGUCAUACUUGUUUAUACUUCCGCCCAGACUUUGAAACGUUAACUGAACUGAACGUUAACUGUGGACAUUAAUUAUUCUGAUGAGACUUGAUGAGUAAGAGACCAAAUUCGAGAAUCGCUAUAUCUAGAGAAAUAAAAGAGUAAAGGCGCA